UAUUAAGACUCAACUGUACACUGUGUUCGUGUUUUCCUCCUGAAAAAAUAAGCAACAGGGGUCUACAAUUGGGAGAAGAAAGACACAAUUAAACAGCACCUCAUCCAAACAGCCUACUGAACACAGCACACAGGACUAGUCCCAAACGAAACACCGACCAAGUCUGAAGUAGAUCAGAUGAACUGCUGAUCAGACGGGCAGACAGAUAAAAAAAAAAACAUAUAGCUUUUCUUUCAUUUACUAGUGAGAUAAAAUGCAUUUCUUGUACAACAUAACUUUUAUAUAUUUGUUUUCCAGGACCAAAGGUCUAUUUAUACUGGCAAGCAAAGGAUGCGGGAGGAGUCUUUACAUGGUGGUGUCAUGGUUUUAAACUGCACAGUGGAGAAAAGAAACUGAAAGAAAGUUUCUUACAAGUACCUGAUGUGUCCUUAAAGAACCAAAUGCUCCUUAUCCUCACAGAUCACGUCCCUAACCAGUAUCAUAAACUAGCUAACAGGUGGAUUGGCACCACUGUCCACUGUGUACAAAAGGUUACAAAGUUAACCACACAGCACAUACUCUUGGAUGGAAUUUAGUAAUCUAGUUGUUCUGGCAUUAAUACAAAUACCAAAGUAACUGUCAUAAAAAAGGUUAACUGAAGCUUUUAUGCUAAAAUUAAGGACUUUUUGUUCACAUUGGCAAAACACCAAGUUCAAUUUUACCAUACCAUGCCACUUUAUUUUUAAAGUGCUUUUAGAAACAACAACAGGGCUGACAAUGAUCUAUGAAACAGCAAAUAAUGAAACAUUUUCAUUUCCAGACCUUUUUAAUAAGCCUUCUCCUGCUUUUAUAGUACAUUUACUUGUCUUGCAAUCUUUCAGUUGAUAUGAGUGACCAAUAUCUAUUUCAUGUGUUAACUAGUGCUUUACUAUCAUGUUCAAUCUGCUGAUUGAGAUCAUGUGACAUUGAAAAAAUUGCUAGUGAAUGAAAUUUGAAAAAAAAUCAUUGUGAUCAAAGCUCUCUUGUUUACUCUGAGGGAACUAAAGUCUGCACAGAUAAUAAGCUGUUUGGGUUUAAGUGAGGAUUUCAAAAAGCUUGCAAACAAAUGAAGAAACAAAAGUUAUGAGUUUAAACCUAUAAAAGAGAAACGACAGUUUCAGGUUACCACGUCUGUCGUGUGGGCAUGUAUUUUUGUUACGUGUUACUCUGCAUGCCAGCAGGUGCCGACAGGUUAAUCGGAACCUGCUUUGUUUAUCCUUUUGGAGCAAAAAGCCUUUUUUAUUGGGGUUUUUUGUUUGUUUGUUUUUUAAUUAAAUUUAAUCAUCACAUCGCUGAUAUCUUAUGAUCUACACCCCAACUACUAAGUUUGUGUUAUUUAAAUUAUUUCUUUGAAUGUUUCUCUUGCUAACUGUCUUACGUUUACCUCUCACACAGUGGACAUAAUUCUGCCCUUGUAGGAUUAAACUUUGAGGUUGCAAAAUCGUCCAUUUGUUUACCGAAUUGACAUGUUUUUGAAUCCAUCCCAGAACCGGGGGUUUGUGUAAGUGUUUUUUUAGUGUGUGUGUCCGUGCUGGCUGGGAGGGAAAAGGUAAUUUCAGUGUCUACUAUAUAAAGAGGCAGCAACUUCCAGAUCUUCAUCUGUGUUCUCCUCCAUCAUCAUUUCACUCAUCAGCAGCCAUGGCUUCACUUCUCACCCUUCUGGAAGUGGUGCUGUGCUCCCUCAUGGUUUCUUCUUCUGAAAUCCUACCUCAGACAGAUUUUGACUUACAGGCAGUAAGAGUCAUCGAUAAUCAUUUUUAUUUGCCACCCAUCUAUUUUCAUAACCACAUGUCCAACUUAGGGUUGCAGGAAGGCGUGCUUCAGUACAUUUUCAAGUUCAUCAGAUUAUAUUGUGUAAUAUACUACAAGUGUUUCUCCCAUAAGUAUUUGGACAAUGAACUUUGUUGUACCUGUGUCUCUGUACAAAGUCAAACAAUCAAGACGUCUUUGAACUGCAGAAUUUGAGCUUUAAUUGAAGGGAUUUAACAAAAUAAUUGCUUUAACUGCUUGCCGGCUACAUUCAGCUGCACCGUUACUCACGGGGCCUCAUGUUUGAUGGAUUUUUAGGCCUGAUACCAUUUCUGACACAACCCCAAAGAGAUUUUUUAUCUCCUCCUGAGAUUCAGCUGGUGAGCUUCCACUUGUUAGGCAAAUGUGUAAACAACUCUAUUAAUUAACUAAUCAUUAAUUACAGCAAUUUUUGCACAUAAUGUGGCAUUUUUUAACAACUGAUUAUAUUGCUUGGGUGAAAUUCUGAACUACAGAAUUCAUGGACAUCGCCCAAUGCCGUGUUUCCUCCCUUCAGAUUCUCUGCUAGGCCUUUACUGCAGCCACCUUCAGUAGUCACCGCAAAACUGAACAGCACUUUACAUUUCAAAUAAAUAGUGACUCAGAGCACACUGUAAAAACAACACAAGAGGUUCUAAACUGUUUCAAUGCAGAACUGGUUACAAAUGCCAGUGUAAUAAUUAAUAUGUAAUUAUGUAAAGUUCAUCAGGUAGUCUUAAGUAAGGAGUUUUAAAACAAUGCUUUUUAUAAAGCUGUUCUUGUGUUUCUGCAUAAUUUCCUGCUGCUUUCCUCGUGUGUGCCCUCAGAUUGCUGGUAAGUGGCAUCACAUUGGACUUGCCACGAAUGCUGAGCGGAUUAUCAAUCAUAAAGACAAUGAAAAUGGGCACGUAUGUGAUUACCCCACUACCCAAUGGGAAUUUGGAUUUGUCAUACACCAGUGUCUAUAAUAGCACAUGUCGGAAAAUGGAAAAAGUGACCAAUAAGACCGAUGUGCCUGGAAAGUUCAGACACAUAAGUCGGAGCUUUGGGCACUUGAGCUAGUUGCUCAUUGUUGAUGUGAAGUAUGAUGAAUACACCCUGACUUACUCCAUCAACACCAAGGGAAAUUCAAGCAGUUCUCCUUGCAGACUGGCGUCCUUCCUGAAAAUAUUUUCAUCCUUCCCAAAAGUGAUGAGUGUCAAGCUGCUGAUGCUGCCUGAAGACCUUAAAGUCUAUUAUGUAAAUGUGACUGAGAACCAACCUGAGCGCUGCUGGGAAAAUAAAAAGGCAGACAUCAAAAGUGCUUUAUUA